rnacentral:rRNA from 1 species
GGAUAACGUGCCCUUAAGAGGAGGAUAAUCUCGGGAAAUUGAGGAUAAUACUCCAUAGAUCAUGGGGCCUGGAAUGGCCCAUGGUUCAAAGUUCCGGCGCUUAAGGAUCGGUCUGCGGCCUAUCAGGUAGUAGUGGGUGUAACGUACCUACUAGCCUAUGACGGGUAUGGGCCUUGAGAGAGGGAGCCCAGAGUUGGAUUCUGAGACACGAAUCCAGGCCCUACGGGGCGCAGCAGUCGCGAAAACUUCACAAUGGGGGCAACCCCGAUGAGGGAAUUCCUAGUGCUAGCACAUUUGUGUUAGCUUUUCUUUAGCUUAGAAAACUAGAGGAAUAAGGGCUGGGUAAGACGGGUGCCAGCCGCCGCGGUAAUACCUGCAGCCCAAGUGGUGGUCGAUUUUAUUGAGUCUAAAACGUUCGUAGCCGGUUCGGUAAAUCUUUGGGUAAAUCGGGGGGCUUAACCUUCCGACUUCCGAGGAGACUGCCGAACUUGGGACCGGGAGAGGCUAGAGGUACUUCUGGGGUAGGGGUAAAAUCCUGUAAUCCUAGAAGGACCACCGGUGGCGAAGGCGUCUAGCUAGAACGGAUCCGACGGUGAGGGACGAAGCCCUGGGUCGCAAACGGGAUUAGAUACCCCGGUAGUCCAGGGUGUAAACGCUGCAGACUUGGUGUUGGAGGCCCUUUGGGGGCAUUCAGUGCCGGAGAGAAGUUGUUAAGUCUGCUACUUGGGGAGUACGUCCGCAAGGAUGAAACU